GCUCAGGGUUGGCAAACAGGAACUUCAACCUACCGCCACACAGAUACAGUGUGAGCAUCUACACUCUGUGGCCACAUCAUGGGCAAUUGCAUUUCAAGGAAAAAGAAGAACGGGAAAGCCUCAGGAGGAUGUAACGUACGCCUCCAUUGACCACGGCAACACCAAAGGACCGAGUCGAGCCAGAACCUCCGCGGAUGACGAUUGUGACUACGCCACCGUUUACGUCCCGGCAGCACUCGCAGCCGCAGACGUUUCUGAAUGCUCGUCUAAAGACGAAGGGGCAGAAGAUUACGUGCUCAUGGGGUAAAAGGAAAACAAGGGGAAGUUCAUUAGAACUAUUGCAAGGUGCAGGACUUGUAGAUACCACAGACAGAAUAAAGUUUCUGUUAAUCAAAUCAUGAUCUUCAGUGAAGAAACUGUGGCAGCGAACAGAGUGACACAUUCAGCGGCAGGAGAUUGCGGAAACAACACAUUUGGCUCCGCUACUGAGAAAACCGUUAUAUUUAAACAGAUCUGCUGUCACUAAUAUUUUCCAUUGCAGAUAAAGGUUUGCUCGGUAUCCACAGGCAAGCAGCGUCCAGAUGACAUAACCAGUUUUCCCUAACAACUGGACUGUUUGCAUAGUAAAAUUGCAGAAUUGUUUUCUGCCUUCAUGACCUUUGCCACAUAAUCCAUGAUGGAAGUGAGUGAAAGUGUGGGACAGAGCACGUAUAUAUGCAACUGUGUACACAACUGUAUACACAACAAACACUUUUGUGCAUAUUUUGUAACAUUGUUCCUGAGAAAAACUGCGCUCCAGGUUUUACAACCGUGGAUAUUUAAGGCUUUAGAAUUACUCUUUGUUUUGCUUUUUUCAAGCAUUUUCAAAAUGCCGGCAUUUACCUACAAGAUGUUCUAAACGAGAUGCAUAUGAAAAAAACGUCUAAUUUACUGCGAGUGUGUUUCUUUUGUUUUUAUUGAUAUUUUA
ensembl:lncRNA